rnacentral:rRNA from 1 species
AUGAGAAGCAACAGCCUUCUUGCCAUCGUCGAUAGAUAUCUCACAAAUACUGACCAGAAGGACGACACAAUAAGUCAUGAUCCAACGGCUAUCAGGACUGCAGUUCCAAUAUAUAUUCAAAUAAAUUUUAACAUUUUGAGCAAGCACAUGAAGAAUUGUGAUGGAAAAUAUAGCCACGGCUCAUGCACUCACAUUCUGCAUCCAGCCAUUGAACAAAGAAGCAUGCAUCAUCAGUCUUCACCCUGUAUUCCUGUAAUGGAAACUGAUACGGUAAGACCACAAGUAUAUCAAAAUUACUGUAAAAGACAAAAUUGCUUGACUCUUAUCUCAUAG